AUCCUUGCGGAAGGGGCAAUAUCGUUGCAAGUGACGCUUAGCGGAUGCGCGAUAAUUGCUGGUUGAAAACUACUCCAAUUCCCGUCUAUCAUUUCGAAAGAUUUGUUAGCAAUUUUUGUAGCCUCCCGGGG
rnacentral:snRNA from 9 species